AACGAACGCUGGCGGCAUGCCUAACACAUGCAAGUCGAACGAAGCCUUCGGGCUUAGUGGCGCACGGGUGCGUAACGCGUGGGAAUCUGCCCUUGGGUUCGGAAUAACAGUUAGAAAUGACUGCUAAUACCGGAUGAUGACGUAAGUCCAAAGAUUUAUCGCCCAAGGAUGAGCCCGCGUAGGAUUAGCUUGUUGGUGAGGUAAAAGCUCACCAAGGCGACGAUCCUUAGCUGGUCUGAGAGGAUGAUCAGCCACACUGGGACUGAGACACGGCCCAGACUCCUACGGGAGGCAGCAGUGGGGAAUAUUGGACAAUGGGCGAAAGCCUGACCCAGCAAUGCCGCGUGAGUGAUGAAGGCCUUAGGGUUGUAAAGCUCUUUUACCCGGGAUGAUAAUGACAGUACCGGGAGAAUAAGCUCCGGCUAACUCCGUGCCAGCCGCCGCCGUAA
rnacentral:rRNA from 1 species